rnacentral:rRNA from 1 species
UGGGGAAUCUUCCGCAAUGGACGAAAGUCUGACGGAGCAACGCCGCGUGUAUGAUGAAGGUCUUCGGAUUGUAAAGUACUGUCAUUGGGGAAGAACGGUUUUCUUGAAAAGAUUGAGAAGACAUGACGGUACCCAAGGAGGAAGCCCCGGCUAACUACGUGCCAGCAGCCGCGGUAAUACGUAGGGGGCAAGCGUUGUCCGGAAUUAUUGGGCGUAAAGGGCGCGUAGGCGGGCCUUUAAGUCCGGUGUGAAAGAUCAGGGCUCAACCCUGAGAGUGCAUCGGAAACUGGAGGCCUUGAGGACAGGAGAGGAAAGUGGAAUUCCACGUGUAGCGGUGAAAUGCGUAGAUAUGUGGAGGAACACCAGUGGCGAAGGCGACUUUCUGGACUGUAACUGACGCUAAAGCACGAAAGCGUGGGUAGCAAACA